rnacentral:tRNA from 1 species
UCCCUGGUGAUCCAGUGGUUAGGAUUCCAUGCUUCCAAUGCAGGGGGUGCAGGUUCAAUCCCUAGUCAGGGAA